ensembl:misc_RNA Metazoa_SRP Metazoan signal recognition particle RNA
GCUGGGCGUGGUGGCGCAUGCCUGUAAUCCCAGCUACUUGGGAGGCUGAGGCAGGAGAAUCACUCGAAUCCAGGAGGCAGCGGUUGAGUUGAGCCAAGAUGGCACCAUUGCACUCCACCCUGGAUGACAGAAUGAGACUCUGUCUCAA